GAUGAAGAACGCAGCGAGAUGCGAUACGUAGUGUGAAUUGCAGAAUUCAGUGAAUCAUCGAAUCUUUGAACGCACAUUGCACCUCUCGGUAUUCCGGGAGGUAUGCCUGUUCGAGCGUCAUUUGUACCCUCAAGCUCUGCUUGGUGUUGGGUGUUUGUUCCGCCUCUGUGUGUGAACUCGCCUCAAAACAAUUGGCAGCCGGCGUACUUGUUUCGGAGCGCAGCACAUUUUGCGAUCCAGAUCAACGUACAGCGGCAUCCAAGAAGCCUUAUUUAACGCUCUUGACCUCGGAUCAGGUAGGGAUACCCGCUGAACUUAAGCAUAUCAAUAAGCGGAGGA
rnacentral:misc_RNA from 1 species